CUUUGACAAGCAUUAAUGUCUUAUCCAAGCCAUGGGAAUGUGAAUGUGAGAAUAUGGCAAAGGAUGCUCUGCACAGGUUUCUGAAAAGCUCCCUCCAAUUUCACACUAAUCCAUUAAUCACUGUUUUUUAAACUGUUCUAUUUCAGCAAUAAAAGACAAAGGCCAAGCUAAGCCAAGAGCUAGAAAACAGAAACAAAGUCAAAACAAGAAAAAAACGAACAAAACAGAACAGAACCCAAGACUGAAGCCCAUCAGAAGCCAGAAAAAGUAGGAGGCAGUUGAUAUGACUGAAUCAUCUCUGCUGGCUAGGACACUUUGGUCUCUGAGAUCAGCAGAGGCAGUGGUUUCUCUGCUCUCUGCUUCAGAAAUAUUUCUGCUUCUCUCCUCAUGGUCAGAGAGAUCUUCAGAGUACUUGAGAAAUUGUUCCAAUUUGAGCCCAUCAAAUAAGCAGCAGCACUGGUUUGGAAAAGAAUCCCAAUUGAAGGCUUGAGAAGAUUUACUCUCCAAAGGUCAUUUUGAAAGCUGUCCUUAAGGCUUGGUUGGGUGUGCUUUGCUUCCAAGCUGAGCUAUGGAUGAACUAUCCUGCCAGCAGUCCUGGAUUUGGGAGUCAAGAGAGGGCAAGAACAGAGCAGGGCAGGACUCCAUGUCUGCUGGUGUCCACGAGACACAUUUGGCAAGCACUCCCAAAUCCAAACUUUCACAGAGCAUCAGAAAUCACUGGAAGCCAUGGGUUCCUUCUGAGUUCUCUCUCUUUGCUGAUACUGUUCGCAACCUCCAAGAGCCAGCUAGACCAGAGACUUUGGAAUCCUCUUCAAUCCCCCUUCCUCAUCCACUCACACAUGGUACACAGUACUUUAAAAGGAAGAAAAAUUUAUAAGGCCUUUGACUGACAACCUACAAAAGCAAAAGCUGAGUAAGGAUACCAACACUUGAAUCCAAGGAUAAUGGAAAAAUAACAUCUGACUGGAAUAAAUGGAUCACAUAUAUAAGCCA
rnacentral:lncRNA from 1 species